CUCAUUUCUCACACACCCACACUCGUCAGCGCCACAAGCCAGGAGCCUAGGGGCACUUCUUUUCGAACCCGCUCUUCACUCUCGCCGUCUUCACUCUUCAUCGGCCUUGCGUGGAAUUCCGAGUAGCAGGCGUCGUCGCCAGAAAGUGAACUCGCUGAUUUUUCCUCCUUUAGCUUCAGCCUUCAGUAGCAUCCCCUGACCUUGGAAGGAGGCAACCUCAACCUCAAAUGAAUCCCUUCAUACCAAAGGUCCGCGCGGCAAACGAAGCUGUGGCGUCGAAGGAGAAGCGAAAGGGGAAGCACGACAAGCCCAAGCCAUGGGACGACAACCCCAAUAUCGACCACUGGAAAAUCGACAAGUUCGACCCUUCCUGAAACGAAGGCGGCCUGCUCGAAGUAAGCUCCUUCUCCACUCUCUUCCCUCAGUACCGCGAAAAGUACCUCCAAGAAGCAUGGCCGAUGGUCAAAUCCUCUCUCAAACAAUUCGGCGUCGCGUGCGAACUCAAUUUGGUCGAGGGUUCCAUGACCGUAUCGCCC